rnacentral:sRNA from 1 species
UCUACUUAUCCACAGAUCAAAUACAGCCCGGUGGCAGCAGUGGGAGCUUCCCCCACACCAGCCACUGCCAGUGGGCCUCAACCCUGACCCACAGGGACGUUCUCUAGCAUGAGAGG